rnacentral:rRNA from 1 species
CAGCCGCCGCGGGAAUACGUAGGGUGCAAGCGUUGUCCGGAAUUAUUGGGCGUAAAGAGCUCGUAGGCGGUUUGUCGCGUCUGCUGUGAAAUCCCGAGGCUCAACCUCGGGCUUGCAGUGGGUACGGGCAGACUAGAGUGCGGUAGGGGAGAUUGGAAUUCCUGGUGUAGCGGUGGAAUGCGCAGAUAUCAGGAGGAACACCGAUGGCGAAGGCAGAUCUCUGGGCCGUAACUGACGCUGAGGAGCGAAAGCAUGGGGAGCGAACAGGAUUAGAGACCCCUGUAGUCCCUGUCUCUUACAC